AUUUUCAAAUCCAAAAUAAUUUUGGGCAUGAAUUAUUAUCGUUGUUAAUAAAACUAGGUCUUUAUAAUAUGGGAAGAAAGUGUAUGAUUUGUGGUAAUACACAGAAUCCACUUUUUGGAAUUCCUGCGGAAGUAGAUCUUAGAAACAAAUGGUUUGAAUCACUUUCAAAAUUUUGUGAUCUGACCAAGAUAAACGAUCAUACUGUUGUGUGUUCCAAACAUUUUGCAACAGAAUGUAUUGUUAGAAGCGCAAAAAGUACUCGUCUUAAUAAACAAGCGGUUCCGUUUA